UCUCUGUUAGUAUAUCGGUUAGUACACGCGCCUGUCAACAGCUGCUACUGGACGCGCGAAAGCGGGGUUCGACUCCCCGACAGAGAG